CGCACGGGUGAGUAACGCGUAUACAAUUUACCUUAUACAGGAGGAUAGCCUUUAGAAAUGAAGAUUAAUACUCCAUGGCAUUAUGAUAUGGCAUCAUAUUAUAAUUAAAGAUUUAUCGGUAUAAGAUGAGUAUGCGUCCUAUUAGUUAGUUGGUAAGGUAAUGGCUUACCAAGACUUCGAUAGGUAGGGGUCCUGAGAGGGAGACCCCCCACACUGGUACUGAGACACGGACCAG
rnacentral:rRNA from 1 species